rnacentral:rRNA from 1 species
AACGUUGGGCCCGGUUAGUACUUGCAUGGGUGACCAGCUGGGAAUACCGGGUGUUGCCGGCU